AAGUGGAUUAGCUAGUUGGUGAGGUAAUGGCUCACCAAGGCGACGAUCCCUAGCUGGUYUGAGAGGAUGAUCAGCCACACUGGAACUGAGACACGGUCCAGACUCUACGGAGGCAGCAGUGGGAAUAUUGCACAAUGGGCGAAAGCCUGAUGCAGCCAUGCCGCGUGUAUGAAGAAGGCUUCGGGUUGUAAAGUACUUUCAGUUGUGAGGAAGGGUGUGUAGUUAAWWCCUSCRCAUCUUGACGUUAGCAACAGAAGAAGCACCGGCUAACUCCGUGCCAGCAGCCGCGGUAAUACGGAGGGUGCGAGCGUUAAUCGGAAUUACUGGGCGUAAAGCGCAUGCAGGUGGUUCAUUAAGUCAGAUGUGAAAGCCCGGGGCUCAACCUCGGAACUGCAUUUGAAACUGGUGAACUAGAGUGCUGUAGAGGGGGGUAGAAUUUCAGGUGUAGCGGUGAAAUGCGUAGAGAUCUGAAGGAAUACCAGUGGCGAAAGGC
rnacentral:rRNA from 1 species